rnacentral:rRNA from 1 species
CCUAGUUAAUUCUACUAGUAAUUAUAUACUUAUCUUAAAGAUUAAGCUAUAUAUAUCUAAAUAUAAGUAAUUAUAUAGUGAAACUGCGAAUAGCUUAUUAUAUAAGUUAUUAUUUAUUUAAUAGUAUCUUACUACUUAGAUAACUAUAGUAAUUCUAAAGCUAAUAUAUACUAAAAAUCCUGAUUUCAAAAAGAAUAUAUUUAUUAGAUUAAAAACUAAUACUUUUUAGAGUUUACUAGUAAUUUAUAAUAACUUUUUAAAUUAUAUAACUUUAUACUAGUAAUAGUUUAUUUAAAUUUCUUCCCUAUUAACUUUUAAUACUAGAGUAGUAUUCUAGUAUAGUUAUAAUAAGUAAUAGAGGGUUAAAGCUCGACUCUAGAGAAGGAGCCUGAGAAAUAGCUACUAUAUCUAAAGAAGGCAGUAAGCAUGCAAAUUACCUAAUCCUAAUAUAGAGAGGUAGUAAUAAUAAAUACUAAUAUAAAGCUUUUUUAGGUUUUAUAAUUAGAAUAAAUAUAAUUUAAAUCUCUUAAUAAGGAAUAAUUAGAAAGUAAGUUUAGUAUUAGUAGCUAUAGUAAUUCCAGCUUUAAUAGUAUAUAUUAAAGUUAUUAUAGUUAAAAAACUUAUAGUAGAACUUUAGGUUUAACUAGCUGGUCUGCCUCACUAUAUACACUAGUCCAGCCGGACCUUUCCCUCUAUAGAACUAUAUACCCUUCACUAAGUAUACUGGAGAAACAGAACUUUUACUUUAAAAAAAUUAGAAUGCUCCAGGCAGGCUUAUACUCAAAUAUAUUAGUAUAGAAUAAUAGAAUAGGAUAUAUAAUUCUAUUUUAUUAAUUUCUAGGACCGUUAUAAUAAUUAAUAGGAAUAAUUAGGAGUAUUAAUAUUUAAUUAUUAGAGGUGAAAUUCUUAAAUUUAUUAAAAACUAACUACUGUAAAAGUAUUUACUAAGGAUAUUUUCAUUUAUUAGGAAUAAAAGUUAGGAGAUUAAAGAUAAUUAGAUACUAUUAUAAUCUUAACUAUAAACUAUACUAACUAGAGAUUAGAUAAUAUUAUUUUUUAACUUGUUUAGUAUCUUAUAAGAAAUUAAAAUACUUAGGCUCCAGGGGGAGUAUAAUUAUAAAGCUGAAACUUAAAGAAAUUAAUAGAAAGAUAUUACUAGAGGUAAAUAGUAGCUAUUUAAGUUCUACUCCAGACAGUAAGCCUAUAAAGGGUCUAGUGGCUAACUCUAAAUUGCUAGUUACUUUAGUAGUAGUAAUAUCCCCCAAUUAUAAGAAACCCUCAAAAAGUAGCACUCCUAAGUAACACUCGAAAGAGAUACUAUAGCGGCAGUGUAAUGGCUGCCAGUAUAGAGAUAAUAUACUACUUAUAAGGUAACUUAUAACUAAGUUUCUAACUAUAGAGAAGGUUCAGAGACUUAACGGAAAUAGGUAGCACUCCUAGGCGCCACUUAAGAUAGAGUCUAUAUCCACUCAAGAGAGUGGGGACUAAUUAGUAUAUUACCUAAAAAGGAAGCCUGUAGCUUAAUUUAACUUAAUAUAGAGAAACUUACUAGGUUCAGAUAUAAUAAGGAUUAACAGAUUAAGAGCUUUUUCUUAAUUUUGUGGGUAGUAGUAUAUAGCUGUUUUUAGUUAGUAGAGUAAUUUAUCUACUUAAUUAUAAUAAUAAAUAAGACCUUAACCUGCUAAAUAGUUUAUAUUACUUUAAUAGUAUACUAGUUUCUUAGAGAGACUAUUAGUUUAAGCUGAUAGAAGUUUAAGGUAAUAAUAGGUUUAUAAUACCUUUAGAUAUUCUAGGCUAUAUAUAUAUUAUACUAACAGAGC